rnacentral:rRNA from 1 species
GACGAACGCUGGCGGCGUGCCUAAUACAUGCAAGUAGAACGCACAGUUUAUACCGUAGCUUGCUACACCAUAGACUGUGAGUUGCGAACGGGUGAGGAACGCGUCGGUAACCUGUCUGGUAGCGUGGGAUAACUAUUGGAAACGAUAGCUAAUACCGCAUAAUAUUAAUUAUUGCAUGGUAAUUAAUUGAAAGGUGCAAUUGCACCACUACCAGUUGGACCUGCGUUGUAUUAGCUAGUAGGUGAGGUAACGGCGCAUCUAGGCGGCGAUACAUAGCCGACCUGAGAGGGUGGUCGGCCACCCUGGGACUGUGACCCGGCCCAGACUCCUACGGGAGGCAGCAGGAGGGAAUCUUCGGCAAUGGGCGAGAGUCUGACCGAGCAACGCCGCGUGAGUGAAGAAGGUCUUCGGGUCGUGAAGCUCGGUUGUAGGAGAAGAACGGGUGUGAGAGUGGAAAGUUCACACUGUGACGGUAUCUUACCAGAAAGGGACGGCUAACUACGUG